rnacentral:rRNA from 1 species
AUUGAACGCUGGCGGCAGGCCUAACACAUGCAAGUCGAACGGUAACAGGGAUCAGCUUGCUGAUUCGCUGACGAGUGGCGGACGGGUGAGUAAUGUCUGGGAAACUGCCUGAUGGAGGGGGAUAACUACUGGAAACGGUAGCUAAUACCGCAUAACGUCGCAAGACCAAAGAGGGGGACCUUCGGGCCUCUUGCCAUCGGAUGUGCCCAGAUGGGAUUAGCUAGUAGGUGGGGUAACGGCUCACCUAGGCGACGAUCCCUAGCUGGUCUGAGAGGAUGACCAGCCACACUGGAACUGAGAUACGGUCCAGACUCCUACGGGAGGCAGCAGUGGGGAAUAUUGCACAAUGGGCGCAAGCCUGAUGCAGCCAUGCCGCGUGUAUGAAGAAGGCCUUCGGGUUGUAAAGUACUUUCAGCGGGGAGGAAGGGAGUAAAGUUAAUACCUUUGCUCAUUGACGUUACCCGCAGAAGAAGCACCGGCUAACUCCGUG